CGGCACGGUGACAACUGGCGAGGACGUGUGGCUCACAGUUCUGAGGACCUGGAUUCAAAUCUGGUCUCGCCUGUGUGGAGUUUGCAUGUUCUCCACCGUGUCUGCGUGGGUUUUCUCCAGGUCGCCAGCCCAGUUCAGGGUGUAGCCCGCCUCUCGCCCCGAAGAUAGCUGGGAAGGACUGCAGCACGCCCGCGAACCUAGUGACCCUGCCAAACUGCCGCUUGUUGUGACGUGAAACGUCUGAGGAUCCACUAUACUCGUCUGAGCUUCCCAAGAACAACAAGUUGUGUACGCCGACCCCGGCCCCGCGUCUAACUCGCCCCCAAAACUUGGGACAGGUCACCGAAGUCGCAGUCGA